UACGUAGGUCCCGAGCGUUGUCCGGAUUUAUUGGGCGUAAAGCGAGCGCAGGCGGUUUAUUAAGUCUGGUGUAAAAGGCAGUGGCUCAACCAUUGUGUGCAUUGGAAACUGUUAGACUUGAGUGCAGUAGAGGAGAGUGGAAUUCCAUGUGUAGCGGUGAAAUGCGUAGAUAUAUGGAGGAACACCGGUGGCGAAAGCGGCUCUCUGGACUGUAACUGACACUGAGGCUCGAAAGCGUGGGUAGCAAACAGG
rnacentral:rRNA from 1 species